rnacentral:lncRNA from 1 species
GUUGCAUUUCUCCUCCUUUUCCUCUUUCUACUCUUUCCCGUCUAUUUUCUCCCUCCCCUCCCCUCCAUCCAUCCCUCCACCCCUCCUUUUCAGAGAGGAGGAAGAGGAGGAGGAGGAAGAGGAGGAGGAGGAUGAGGAAGAUGAUGAGAGUCAUGAUAUCACAGAGACCACUAGAAAGGUCUUCCACAGCAGCCAAACAGCUGUAUUGUAUACAUCUAGAGCACCCGUUAGUGCUGGAAGCCGACACAUAGGCCACGUCAUGGCGCUCCCUGGCAGGUCCCAGGGUGUAGCCAGCGCCAGCGCCCCCACCACCCCUGUACACCGCUCCCAGGGUGUUGCCAGCGCCCCCACCACCCCUGUACACCGCACCUUUGCCACCUCAGGGGCACCACAGCUGGACUCCAAGUCUGACAGGUCAGCACUCAACCAAUCAAUGAAUCAAUCAAUGAAACAAGCCACCUCUGUGUAUGAGUUCCAGAUGAGUUAAAUAUUAUUUAUUUUCUUUCAAAUAAUUUAGGUGCGCUUGUUUUAGCUUGCCCAGCAUAGUAGGACCAAUGGAAUAGUAAUAUGGUCUUCCUCUGUUGGGUUACCCAGACCUUCUCUGGGGAGCUUGUUGUCCUCCUCCUACAGACAACACCAGGAGUCUCUGACUGCAGAGAGAGAGAGGAGGAGACAAGAGAGGGAGGAACGACUGCAGAAAAUCGAGAGGGAGGAGAGGACCCGCUUCAAGUGAGUCCCAACCUGCAUCACAUCACACUACUCAUAGAUGGAAUUGUCCUUUUGACGUUUACAUU